GCCCCGAUAGUGUAGUCCGGUCAAUCAUCUCGGAUUUUCGAUCCGAGGACGUGGGUUCAAAUAUUGAUGAACAUUGCGUCGUCGAUAAGAAAGUCCCGCUCGGGGCA
rnacentral:tRNA from 1 species